GACGAACGCUGGCGGCGUGCUUAACACAUGCAAGUCGAACGGACAGGUCAUGCUCUUGCGGGGUGCUCGAGUGGCGAACGGGUGAGUAACACGUGAGUAAACUGCCCCUGACUGUGGGGUAAAAUCAGGAAAAAGGGGCUCAUACAGGGUAGGAGCUACUGCAGCGUGGUGGGGGUUGGAAAGAUUCGGCGGUUGGGGAUGGAAUAGCGGGUUAUGCGCUUGUUGGUGGGGUAGUGGCUUACCGGGGCUUCGACGGGUAGGCGGCCUUGGAGGGGGACCGGGCACAUGGGGACUGAGAGACGGCCCAGACGCCUACGGGAGGCAGCAGUGGGGAAUAUGGCGCAAUGGGCGGAAGCCUGAUGCAGCAACGCCGCGUGCGUGAUGACGUCCUACGAGUGAUAAACCGCUUUCGCCUGUGACGAGGCGUGCGUGACGGUAAUGGGUAAAGAAGCACCGGCUAACUACGUG
rnacentral:rRNA from 1 species